rnacentral:rRNA from 1 species
UAGGGAAUCUUCCGCAAUGGGCGAAAGCCUGACGGAGCAACGCCGCGUGAGUGAUGAAGGUCUUCGGAUCGUAAAACUCUGUUAUUAGGGAAGAACAAAUGUGUAAGUAACUAUGCACGUCUUGACGGUACCUAAUCAGAAAGCCACGGCUAACUACGUGCCAGCAGCCGCGGUAAUACGUAGGUGGCACGCGUUAUCCGGAACUAUUGGGCGUAAAGCGCGCGUAGGCGGUUUGUUAAGUCUGAUGUGAAAGCCCACGGCUCAACCGUGGAGGGUCAUUGGAAACUGGAAAACUUGAGUGCAGAAGAGGAAAGUGGAAUUCCAUGUGUAGCGGUGAAAUGCGCAGAGAUAUGGAGGAACACCAGUGGCGAAGGCGACUUUCUGGUCUGUAUAUGAAGCUGAUGUGCGAAAGCGUGGGGAUCAAACAGG